rnacentral:rRNA from 1 species
CAGUCGCCGCGGUAAUACGAAGGGGGCUAGCGUUGCUCGGAAUGACUGGGCGUAAAGGGCGCGUAGGCGGCGAUCAAAGUCAGGCGUGAAAUUCCUGGGCUCAACCUGGGGGCUGCGCUUGAUACUUGGUUGCUUGAGUGGGGGAGAGGGUCGUGGAAUUCCCAGUGUAGAGGUGAAAUUCGUAGAUAUUGGGAAGAACACCGGUGGCGAAGGCGGCGACCUGGUCCUUGACUGACGCUGAGGCGCGAAAGCGUGGGGAGCAAACAGGAUUAGAUACCCCAGUAGUCCCUGUCUCUUAUAC